rnacentral:rRNA from 1 species
UCCUACGGGGGGCAGCAGUGAGGAAUAUUGGGCAAUGGACGCAAGUCUGACCCAGCCAUGCCGCGUGAAGGAUGAAGGCGUUCUGCGUUGUAAACUUCUUUUAUCUGGGAAGAAACCUCCGAUUUCUAUUGGAGCCGACGGUACCAGAGGAAUAAGCACCGGCUAACUCCGUGCCAGCAGCCGCGGUAAUACGGAGGGUGCAAGCGUUAUCCGGAUUCACUGGGUUUAAAGGGUGUGUAGGCGGGCUAUUAAGUCAGUGGUGAAAUCUCCGAGCUUAACUUGGAAACUGCCAUUGAUACUAUUAGUCUUGAAUGUUGUUGAGGUGGGCGGAAUACAUCAUGUAGCGGUGAAAUGCUUAGAUAUGAUGUAGAACACCGAUUGCGAAGGCAGCUCACUAAACAACGAUUGACGCUGAGGCACGAAAGCGUGGGGAUCAAACAGGAUUAGAUACCCUGGUAGUCCACGCCCUAAACGAUGAUUACUCGACAUACGCGAUAUACAGUGUGUGUCUGAGCGAAAGCAUUAAGUAAUCCACCUGGGAAGUACGUUCGCAAGAAUGAAACUCAAAGGAAUUGACGG